rnacentral:rRNA from 1 species
AACGAACGCUGGCGGCAGGCUUAACACAUGCAAGUCGAACGGGUGUAGCAAUACAUCAGUGGCAGACGGGUUAGUAACACGUGGGAACCUUCCUAGGGGUACGGAACAACUCAGGGAAACUUGAGCUAAUACCGUAUACGUCCGUGAGGAGAAAGAUUUAUCGCCCUUAGACGGGCCCGCGUCGGAUUAGCUAGUUGGUGGGGUAACGGCCUACCAAGGCGACGAUCCGUAGCUGAUCUUAGAGGAUGAUCAGCCACACUGGGACUGAGACACGGCCCAGACUCCUACGGGAGGCAGCAGUGGGGAAUCUUGGACAAUGGGCGCAAGCCUGAUCCAGCCAUGCCGCGUGAGUGAAGAAGGUCUUCGGAUUGUAAACCUCUGUCUUCAGGGACGAUAAUGACGGUACCUGAGGAGGAAGCUCCGGCUAACUACGUGCCAGCAGCCGCGGUAA